CACGAGAAUCAUGGAGAUGAAUAGGGGCAGGAUAAUUUACCAGAGGAAGCCUAGAGUGGAGUGCUGGACAGACCACCAUGUGGAGUUGCCAUCUGAGGACAUUGCUACUUGGAUACCCCCACAGGUAUUGACUGCUGCCUCAUGAAGGCUGGUCCUGUCUCUAUAGUGAAUAUUGUGCACCUCAGGGUAGAAUGGAGAGCAGAAGACUUCAAAUCAGGCAGUCUGGGUUCAGACCCCAAUUCUAGUGCUAAAUAGCUACGUGACUUUAGGCCGAUUGUGUGUGACUUCCCUGAGCCCCAGUCUCUUUGCCUGCAAAAUGAGAAAAAUUAUAACAAUGUCAUCGGUUGUUCUGAGGAUUCUGAGAGGAAUUAGUAGGAGAGAGAACUAAGAAGCUGCGGGCCUCUACAGAGCCAUUCAACUGGCAUUUCGGAAGAUGUUGCCCAUCAGAGUCAGACCUUCUUAGCAUCUUCCGGCUGGGCCCAAACUUCCCAAGACCAUUUGGACAAGGUCAUCUCUAUCCCACCAUGGCCUCCUCCCAGAGGAGGAGAAGAAUCAUGCUGUUACAGCAGAACCGAAGAUUUGGGCAAGGGAGCUAAUGAUUAUGUUCUGCGUCAGGUCAGAGAUGGGCUGGGAAAGCCACUCCAAAGCCAAGACAAGCAGUUUCCUGGAAAAAGAAGGCUGCGCGGAGCCCAGAGUGGCCUGGAUCCUGCCUCAUUUCCUGGACCAGCUCCUUAGGUGGUUACUGGAUUGCCAAUAAAGCAGAGCUUAUUAAAGUCAACGAGCUCAGGCUUCAUCGCCGCCAUGGUAUCCAAGCACCAGUCUGUCUGGGAUUUCAUUUGCCAGAUGGACAAAGGAGAGGUUGUUCCAAUACAUAUCCUGAGUGGUGGGGGUGGGGAGAGAAGGGGAAGAAUGCUCUCUAGAGAAUUCUCUUUGUCCUCUGAAGUAAAUAGAGAUCAUGUCU
ensembl:lncRNA LINC02086 long intergenic non-protein coding RNA 2086